ensembl:misc_RNA Metazoa_SRP Metazoan signal recognition particle RNA
UGUCCGCACUAAGUUCGGCAUCAAUAUGGUGACCUCCCGGGAGCGGGGAACCACCAGGUUGCCUAAGGAGGGGUGAACCGGCCCAGGUCGGAAACGGAGCAGGUCAAAACUCCCGUGCUGAUCAGUAGUGGGAUCGCG